rnacentral:rRNA from 1 species
AACGAACGCUGGCGGCAGGCUUAACACAUGCAAGUCGAACGCCCCGCAAGGGGAGUGGCGCCCGGGUGAGUAACGCGUGGAUAUCUGCCUUUUGGUUCGGAAUAACCCCGGGAAACUGGGGCUAAUACCGGAUGGUUCCUACGGGAUAAAGAUUUAUCGCCAAAAGAUGAGUCCGCGUACGAUUAGCUAGUUGGUGAGGUAAUGGCUCACCAAGGCGACGAUCGUUAGCUGGUCUGAGAGGACGAUCAGCCACACUGGGACUGAGACACGGCCCAGACUCCGACGGGAGGCAGCAGUGGGGAAUAUUGGACAAUGGGGGCAACCCUGAUCCAGCCAUGCCGCGUGAGUGAUGAAGGCCUUCGGGUGGUAAAGCUCUUUUGGCGGGGACGAUGAUGACGGUACCCGCAGAAUAAGCCCCGGCUAACUUCGU